rnacentral:lncRNA from 1 species
AUGUGGGACACAAGGUCUCUCGAGAAGAUGGUGAACAGGACGACUCUAAGCACACAGAGAGUGCUCCACACACACAUUCUGGAACUAGGAGAACAGUUAUGUCCAUGGUCAUCUCCCCCUGUUAGAACAGACGACCACCUAAAACUGGCUCCGAGCUUGGUCAAUCCACGGCCUGCUACUGACGGAGCAGCUGAUGUCCCCUCCAGGAGGAAUUUAAGCAGCUGGCGCAGAAGGAGAAACAUGCUGCCCUUAAACUCCAAGAGGAGAGUCUGCAGGCCUGGUUUCAAGAGGCCCUGCAAGCCAGGGACAGGCUGGAGGCUGAAAUGAGGCGAGAGUCCAGGUCGAGCUGCAGGCCCAGUUCCGAGCUCAAUUUGAAGGCCUGAGGGCUCAGAUGGAGGAAGACAAGGUCCAAGCCGUAG